CACCGGCGGCCCGAGUGGUAACCGCUUUUAUUGGGUCUAAAGGGUCUGUAGCCGGCCAAGUAAGUCCCUUGGGAAAUCUGGCAGCUCAACUGUCAGGCUGCUAGGGGAUACUGCUAGGCUUGGGACCGGGAGAGGUGAGAGGUACCUUGGGGGUAGGGGUGAAAUCUUGUGAUCCUCGGGGGACCACCAGUGGCGAAGGCGUCUCACCAGAACGGGUCCGACGGUAAGGGACGAAAGCUAGGGGCACGAACCGG
rnacentral:rRNA from 1 species